UCCUCAGUAGCUCAGCGGUAGAGCGGUCGGCUGUUAACUGACUGGUCGUAGGUUCGAAUCCUACUUGGGGAUA
rnacentral:tRNA from 1 species